GAUGAAGAACGCAGCGAAGUGCGAUAAGUAAUGUGAAUUGCAGAAUUCCACGAAUCAUCGAAUUUUUGAACGCAAAUUGCACUUUUUGGUAUCCCGAAAAGUAUGCCUGUUUGAGGGUCAGCAUAAUAAAAAUCGGUAUGUUGCUUUUUUUGUGACGUUCCGGAGUUUGGGUUUAUCUUGAACAAAAUUUAGUUUAAGAGACUUAAAAUUAACAAUCUUUUUGCGCAUUUUUAGAUGUACAUAGAUUUUUUUAUUUCGUCUAUAUAUAUAUUAUCAUGCCAAAAUUUUAUUAGAUGCGACCAUAUCGAGUGGUUUUGUGCCUAUAAAUUUAUCAUAAUUUGACCUCAAAUCAGGUAAGAAUACCCGCUGAACUUAAGCAUAUCAAUAAGCGGAGGA
rnacentral:misc_RNA from 1 species